UACGUAGGGCGCAAGCGUUGUCCGGAAUUAUUGGGCGUAAAGAGCUCGUAGGCGGCUUGUCACGUCGGGUGUGAAAGCCCGGGGCUUAACCCCGGGCCUGCAGUGGGUACGGGCAGACUAGAGUGCGGUAGGGGAGACUGGAAUUCCUGGUGUAGCGGUGAAAUGCGCAGAGUAUCAGGAGGAACACCGGUGGCGAAGGCGGGUCUCUGGGCCGUAACUGACGCUGAGGAGCGAAAGCAUGGGGAGCGAACAGG
rnacentral:rRNA from 1 species